rnacentral:misc_RNA from 1 species
GUUUUCUUGUUUAGCAUUCAUAGAAUGUAAACCUAUAUCUAUUUGUAUUUAAUUAUCCGGUUCUUGAUAUUACCGUAUGUAAAGUCUCAUUAGCUUCGGGGGAAAACAGUUUUGACUUCUGAAAUAGAGCUGAAAUAAUCUGCGGUAAUUUAGAUUAAUGUAGGAGCUAGUUGUUUAGUCAAAAUUUAAUGCCAUUUUAGAUGAGCCCUUCAAUUCUAUAAACUGAACAUUUAUAUGGUAGCUAUGCAACUGAAUAGGAUAAAUUAAUUUCAAAAUCUGGCAUCUUUGCAUUUGAGUGUGUUUCAGAUUAGGGUGCCCGUGAUGCCAUCAUGCUGGCAUGUACAUCAUUAAUCUAUCCCACCCAUUCAACCACCUGAACUGAUGCCUAAGGCUUAUGUCUUCUAAUUGUUGUUACUUAUAUUUGUUGGUCUGACAUUGUCCAGAAGCUGGGAAAUAUGCUAAGAUAGAAAACAGAAGCAUCAUUUGCUUAGACUGGCAAUUUAGAAAGUAUUCAAUCACCUGGGUUUUUCAAAGAAAAUUUUCAGUUACCUAUCUCUGAAAGAGCUUGUAGUCAUCUGUCAUCAGUUAUUCCCUGUAUCAAAGUGCUGUGUAGAUAACUUUUGCUAGAAACUUGGCUAUGUUUAGUCAUUGUGUGUUCAAAAUUUGAGAAAAAUGGCUUAUGGUAAGGGUUAAUAAUAUUGUCACUGUCAGACACUCAUGCUAGGAAGUCAAAGGGUAGGACCAAUAGAUAGUUUCAUGAUGCAAUUUAUCAUAUGGCUGAAUGAGGAAGGAAUCAAGGGUCCAAGCAUCAUUAUAUGCAAAUUCUCAUAUGGCUGGAUGAGUGGGAAUCAGGGGUCUGGAACCCCUAAAUGGAUGUAAACCUUUUUGGAAAAGAUUCCAUCCUCCUACAUCUUCCAUAGAUCUGGCUUCUAGUUGGUUCAACUAGUCGUUUAGAUGUCAGUUUCCCAUUAGCCAUGAGCAAAUAUACAUAUGAAGGAGAUAUUUAUCAUUUCCAUAAGAUGAGGCCAGUUUUGUAAAAACUUUUCCUUUUCUCGUAUGGUUAAAUAAGUGGGGAAUCCAGGUCCAAGAGCCCCUAAAUGGAUGUAGCCUUGUGGUGCCAGGGCGUGGAAAGUAUUCAAUCAUCUUUUCAUAAAUCAGGCCUAUUGUUGGCCCAUCCAGCUUUAGAUUCAGUUUCUUGGUAGCAGUUCUACCAUGAGCAACUGUUCAUAUGAAGGCCAUAAAGUAGGGAGUGAUUUUAGUGAAACUCUUCAUAACUUCUUACUAAAAAAUAUGAAAAAAAAAAAUGGUAACUGUGUUCUAAGUCAGGUAAAGGGAGAGAGAGUUGUAGGGGUUUAAAUCCUUGACCACUUUAACUUCUUGAUAAUUAUGAAAUGCUGCUUUUAUCUUCCUCGAGGUGUUAGGAUCUCUUAUUCAUUUAUUUACCUAAUACUCUCUUGGCCCCUGAAUCUGGGUUGGGAGCUGUGAAAUGAGAAUUUUUCUAGUUUCAGUACUCAUUAUUUCAGAAAGAAAAUUGCAACCAUCGGGCUGAUAUAUAAAACUAAAAGAACAUUCCAUUUCCAGCUAAAUGCAAAUUUAUUGAUUGAACAAAGGUUUUGAGAAACAAAAACUGACAAAUAUGCAAACAAAUCCAUCAUACUCAACUAAACUCAAAUCAACUAAGUUUUUAUCCCAAAAAAAUUUAAGAUCGGUUAUAUGGAUUUUUUUUCUCUAUUCUAAACAAUUUUGGGUUA